ensembl:processed_transcript
AUCCACACAACUGUCUAUAAAGUUAUCAAUCCUGAUCAUCGCGCUACAAACCUCUGCACAAAUCUACCGUCGACUGAGUUUCACCUGUUUUCUACUUUGGGAAGUUGUUUUGGAGUUCGCUAUGACGCUGCGGCGCUCGAGUAGGACCAGGACUCUUCCUGGACACCUCAGAGACUUCUUGCUGGAGCGCGUCUCUUCCGUUGAGGAGAGCGCAGCAGCGGCCAGGCCAGACACCUGCAGCUGCAUGUCGGACACUUCACUGGAGGAGAAACACCUGAGGAACGCAGCUGUCCUUCCUGUCCUCCGUCCCGCAGCAUCAGUCUCCUUGGCUGGUGAGUGUCCGCAGGAGGAGCCGCUCUCCAUCCACGGCCGGAGUGUGCAAGAAUAUCAGCACCUCUACCACAGUGUGAUGGGUUCCACCAUGAAGAGACGCCGAGGCCGUUACAACCUUCAGUGGGGCUUGGAGAUCAAGCAGCGGCUGUGGGAUCAGCUGGACCGGCCUGUACUGCUGGAGACCGUGCAGCCUGAUGGACGUGUGGUCAUCACGGAGAGCAGGUCUGGGCCCAGCAUCCCUCCUCAAAUCAUGGUGGACAUCAGCAAAGAGCCGCUGCCCAAGGAGCCCCGAAAGAAGAAGCCCAGGCACUGAGUCAUCCUAUAUAGUGCCAGAUGGAGGAUUAAGGGCAUGAAGAAGUUCCUUAGACAGGAAGUGGAGAGCAGUACUUUGGGAAGCCCUGCUGCUGCUGCUGCUGAUGAUGAGCUUCUAGAGCACUGGCGGUCUAGAUAGCGGAUUUCUGCCCACCUGCACUCAACUCAACACAGAUGCAGCACCAGGU